CGAUCCUAGCUUGGUAGGAGGCGUCGAGCGGCGGACGGGUGAGUAAUGCAUAGGAAUCUGCCCGGUAGUGGGGGAUAACUUGAGGAAACUCAAGCUAAUACCGCAUACGCCCUACGGGGGAAAGCAGGGGCUCUUCGGACCUUGCGCUAUCGGAUGAGCUUAUGUCGGAUUAGCUGGUUGGUGAGGUAACGGCUCACCAAGGCGACGAUCCGUAGCUGGUCUGAGAGGAUGAUCAGCCACAUCGGGACUGAGACACGGCCCGAACUCCUACGGGAGGCAGCAGUGGGGAAUAUUGGACAAUGGGGGCAACCCUGAUCCAGCCAUGCCGGGGGGUGGAAGAAGGCCCUCGGGUUGUAAAGCACUUUCAGCGAGGAAGAACGCCUGUCGGUUAAUACCCGGCAGGGGAGACAUCACUCGCAGAAGAAGCACCGGCUAAUUCCGUGCCAGCAGCCGCGGUAAUACGGAGGGUGCGAGCGUUAAUCGGAAUUACUGGGCGUAAAGCGUGCGUAGGCGGCUUGAUAAGCCGGUUGUGAAAGCCCCGGGCUCAACCUGGGAACGGCAUCCGGAACUGUCAGGCUAGAGUGCAGGAGAGGAAGGUAGAAUUCCCGGUGUAGCGGUGAAAUGCGUAGAGAUCGGGAGGAAUACCAGUGGCGAAGGCGGCCUUCUGGACUGACACUGACGCUGAGGUACGAAAGCGUGGGUAGCAAACAGGAUUAGAUACCCUGGUAGUCCACGCCGUAAACGAUGUCGACUAGCCGUUGGGGUCCUCGAGACCUUUGUGGCGCAGUUAACGCACUAAGUCGACCGCCUGGGGAGUACGGCCGCAAGGUUAAAACUCAAAUGAAUUGACGGGGGCCCGCACAAGCGGUGGAGCAUGUGGUUUAAUUCGAUGCAACGCGAAGAACCUUACCUACCCUUGACAUCGUGCGAACUUGGUAGAGAUACCUUGGUGCCUUCGGGAGCGCACAGACAGGUGCUGCAUGGCUGUCGUCAGCUCGUGUUGUGAAAUGUUGGGUUAAGUCCCGUAACGAGCGCAACCCUUGUCCCUAUUUGCCAGCGAUUCGGUCGGGAACUCUAGGGAGACUGCCGGUGACAAACCGGAGGAAGGUGGGGACGACGUCAAGUCAUCAUGGCCCUUACGGGUAGGGCUACACACGUGCUACAAUGGCCGGUACAAUGGGUUGCAAAGCGGCGACGUGGAGCUAAUCUCAUAAAGCCGGUCUCAGUCCGGAUCGGAGUCUGCAACUCGACUCCGUGAAGUCGGAAUCGCUAGUAAUCGUGCAUCAGAAUGGCACGGUGAAUACGUUCCCGGGCCUUGUACACACCGCCCGUCACACCAUGGGAGU
rnacentral:rRNA from 1 species